UGGGGAAUAUUGGACAAUGGGCGCAAGCCUGAUCCAGCCAUGCCGCGUGGGUGAAGAAGGCCCUAGGGUUGUAAAUCCCUUUCAGCGGGGAAGAUGAUGACGGUACCCGCAGAAGAAGCCCCGGCUAACUCCGUGCCAGCAGCCGCGGUAAUACGAAAGGGGCUAGCGUUGUUCGGAAUUACUGGGCGUAAAGCGCGCGUAGGCGGACUAUUAAGUCAGGGGUGAAAUCCCGGGGCUCAACCCCGGAACUGCCCUUGAUACUGGUAGUCUUGAGUUCGAGAGAGGUGAGUGGAAUUCCGAGUGUAGAGGUGAAAUUCGUAGAUAUUCGGAGGAACACCAGUGGCGAAGGCGGCUCACUGGCUCGAUACUGACGCUGAGGUGCGAAAGCGUGGGGAGCAAACAGGAUUAGAUACCCGUGUAGUCC
rnacentral:rRNA from 1 species